GAUUUACUUCGGUAAUGACGUUGGGACCGCUUGCGGCGGAUGGGUGAGUAACACGUGGGGAACCUGCCCCUAAGUCUGGGAUACCAUUUGGAAACAGGUGCUAAUACCGGAUAAUAAAGCAGAUCGCAUGAUCAGCUUUUGAAAGGCGGCGUAAGCUGUCGCUAAGGGAUGGCCCCGCGGUGCAUUAGCUAGUUGGUAAGGUAACGGCUUACCAAGGCGACGAUGCAUAGCCGAGUUGAGAGACUGAUCGGCCACAUUGGGACUGAGACACGGCCCAAACUCCUACGGGAGGCAGCAGUAGGGAAUCUUCCACAAUGGACGCAAGUCUGAUGGAGCAACGCCGCGUGAGUGAAGAAGGUUUUCGGAUCGUAAAGCUCUGUUGUUGGUGAAGAAGGAUAGAGGUAGUAACUGGCCUUUAUUUGACGGUAAUCAACCAGAAAGUCACGGCUAACUACGUGCCAGCAGCCGCGGUAAUACGUAGGUGGCAAGCGUUGUCCGGAUUUAUUGGGCGUAAAGCGAGCGCAGGCGGAAAAAUAAGUCUAAUGUGAAAGCCCUCGGCUUAACCGAGGAACUGCAUCGGAAACUGUUUUUCUUGAGUGCAGAAGAGGAGAGUGGAACUCCAUGUGUAGCGGUGGAAUGCGUAGAUAUAUGGAAGAACACCAGUGGCGAAGGCGGCUCUCUGGUCUGCAACUGACGCUGAGGCUCGAAAGCAUGGGUAGCGAACAGGAUUAGAUACCCUGG
rnacentral:rRNA from 1 species